GAUGCCAAACCAGUUAUUGAUCACCAACGACGGCUGAAUCCGAAGAUGAAAGAAGUGGUAAGAAAGGAAAUACUAAAGCUCCUUGAGGCAGGUAUAAUCUAUCCCGUUGCUGAUAGUCAGUGGGUAAGUCAUGUCCAUUGUGUCCCUAAGAAGGGAGGUAUUACUGUCGUUCCUAAUGAUAAAGAUGAAUUGAUUCCACAAAGAAUUAUUACAGGUUAUAGGAUGGUAAUUGAUUUCCGCAAAUUAAAUAAAGCUACUAAAAAAGAUCAUUACCCCUUACAUUUUAUUGAUCAAAUGCUAGAAAGAUUAUCCAAACGU
rnacentral:rRNA from 1 species